rnacentral:rRNA from 1 species
GUGUCAGCAGCCGCGGUAAUACGUAGGAUCCGAGCGUUGUCCGGAAUUACUGGGUGUAAAGGGAGCGCAGGCGGGUCUAUAAGUCGACGGUGAAAUCUUCCAGCUCAACUGGAAAACUGCCGCCGAUACUGUAGAUCUUGAAUAUGUCAGAGGGAAACGGAAUUCAUGGUGUAGCGGUGAAAUGCGUAGAUAUCAUGAAGAACACCAGUCGCGAAGGCGGUUUCCUGGGACAUUAUUGACGCUCAUGCUCGAAAGUGUGGGGAGCAAACAGGAUUAGAUACCCUGGUAGUCCACACCUUAAACGAUGAAUACUAGGUGUCGGGUCGAAAGACUCGGUGCCAAAGCUAACGCAUUAAGUAUUCCACCUGGGGAGUACGAUCGCAAGGUUGAA